rnacentral:rRNA from 1 species
UACAGAGGGUGCAAACGUUGCUCGGAAUUAUUGGGCGUAAAGCGCGUGUAGGCGGUUUGUUAGGCCGACCGUGAAAUCCCAUGGCUCAACCAUGGAAGAGCGGUCGGAACCGGCAGACUAGAGUUCUGACGAGGGUGGCGGAAUUCCCAGUGUAGAGGUGAAAUUCGUAGAUAUUGGGAGGAACACCGGUGGCGAAGGCGGCCACCUGGGAAGCGACUGACGCUGAGACGCGAAAGCGUGGGGAGCAAACAGG